AUCCUUUCGUGUUCAGAAAGAUGAUGAUUGGGUUGUUUCACGCUGUAUUUGCGUGAGAUGUACCGCCCUUGUUGUUACGCUUUGGUACAUCACCCGUCUGACU